rnacentral:rRNA from 1 species
GAUGAACGCUAGCGGCAGGCUUAACACAUGCAAGUCGAGGGGUAUAGGUUUUCGGACCUAGAGACCGGCGCACGGGUGCGUAACGCGUAUGCAAUCUACCUUUUACAGAGGGAUAGCCCAGAGAAAUUUGGAUUAAUACCUCAUAGUAUAAUGAUUCGGCAUCGAGACAUUAUUAAAGUUCCAACGGUAAAAGAUGAGCAUGCGUCCCAUUAGCUAGAUGGUAAGGUAACGGCUUACCAUGGCGACGAUGGGUAGGGGUCCUGAGAGGGAGAUCCCCCACACUGGUACUGAGACACGGACCAGACUCCUACGGGAGGCAGCAGUGAGGAAUAUUGGUCAAUGGGCGCAAGCCUGAACCAGCCAUGCCGCGUGCAGGAUGACGGUCCUAUGGAUUGUAAACUGCUUUUGUACAGGAAGAAACACUGGUUCGUGAACCAGCUUGACGGUACUGUAAGAAUAAGGAUCGGCUAACUCCGUGCCAGCAGCCGCCGUAA